AAGUUUUUUUUAACUUAGUUAACAGGUUUUCUCCCCACUUUUCAAAGGCAUCUCAUACCUUAAUUUUGCAGUGAAUUUAAUGAGACAUCUGUCAAAUGAGGCAUCUUAGAUUUAAUGAUUUUGUUAUGUGCCAGGGUUUAACAUGGUUCAGCCUAUCUGGCCUGGAGAAGGGUUUGAUUGUACUGUGAAAGUCAACAGAUCCUGAAGCCACUCAAUAGAAAAACGAUUCCUUAAUUUUGAAAAAGAGAAAGAGAUGUUAUCAGAAUGUCUAAAACAGCCUGGGAAAAUGAAGUCUUUUUUUUUCUUCAAUGUUCCACCUUCUAAACUGAUUCCCUUUAAUCACAGGCAUCUGGUAGAACGCUAGUAAUGAGGGGUUUUGAAUCUGGUCUGAUGUCACUGUGAUUGCAGGGCAAACUGUUUUUUAUACCUAACUUUGGUUUUCUAAAGAUAAUAUAGUUAAACAAAAUCGACCUUGUGGAUUCAUUGGAUAUUUUAGAUAUUUGUAACCUAAGGUGGUAUGACUGACUGACUGGAUUUAUAUGAAACUUCAACUCCGGAAAAUUUUGAUAAAUUGAAACUCAAAGACCUGGAAAGAAUAGACUUUAAUGAUAAUUUGAUUAAAAGACAUUAGUAUAUUUAGGUAACUGUGAAAUAGCAACUUUUUGAAGUUCUGUGAUAUUAUACUUUUUAUCGAGCAUAAUAAUAGUUACUACAUUAAUGAAGUGUUAUUCUUUGGUUUUAGAAUUGGAAUAGUUUUGUUGUGUUACCAUGACUUGGCCUCAUAUACGUUUUGGCAUGUUAAAUGAGAAAAGCGAGGCAUCCAUACUGAAGUAAUCCCCCCAUCCUCACUUGUAUUUGUUACAUUUGAGAUUUUUAUACAUUUUAAAAUGUAUUUAACAAUAAGUAUAAGCCUAGUGGCCUCUUGAGUUUGUGACCUAGAAGUUAUAAUACAAACUCCAUAAAAUAUUUGUAGGUUGCAUAUAUUGUAUGAUUUUGCAGAUAUCAACACUUUAGCAAAACAUAAGCAAAAAAUAUCCAGCAUUCUUGGCAUAUACUUUUCGAACUGGAGCUUGGCUAAAAGUAAAUUAGCGUGGCUUCUUGUUUGUGAAAGCAUGCAGUUGAAGAUUGAAUGAAAUUUGAAAUAUUUGGUUUUGGACCAUUUCAAUAAUGAGUGAAAAAUCUAAUUAGAAGGUGAAAAUUGAGAGAAUUUGAAUUGGUUGUAAUUUUUUAAAAGUUUUUUUCCCUCACAUUCUGUUUGAGGAAGAGAUUUGUAUUUCUUGCUUUUUGUUUCUUCUGAUUCAGACAUCUGAGGAAGAGCAGGUGGAGAAUGAAUCUUUUCAUAUACCUGCCUCAGUUAAUAAUGUGUUAGAGUGUUUGGGCUUUCUUUUCAAAUACCAGGCAUGUUUUUAAAAUACAGCAAGAGUUUGGCUGGUGUGGUGGUGGUGGGGUCAAAGUAACUCUUUUUUUCAAAAACAGAACUUUGGGAAAGAAUUUUUUCCUUUUAUCUCACACUGUGAGAGAAAAUGUACUGCUUUUUAGAGAAACUAAUCUGAGAGUUGGGAAACUUGGCAUGACUUUGGGCAUUCAUUUUAACCUACCCUGGGCUUUGAUUUCCUCAUCUGUAAAACGAUGGGGUUGGAGUAGAGUAAGUCCAAGAUCUCUUUCAACUCAUAACAUUCUGAGGCUUUAUUAGAGAGCAUGUUUUUUUUGAAGGGCCUUAAAGGUGGUAGUUGUUUUAAGUUCUGUAAGACAUGGCUAUGGGCUUAAAACUGUCAGAUCCCUGCCUUUUCUUUUGGGCUUGGACCUAAUGUACACAAGUCAGCUGGAGGUUGCCAACCAACCAAAGCAGACCUCCUCUUUGGUGUAGAUUAGGACAGGAAUCGAUGUUUGAUGACCUGUUCCCUGCUGUUCCUGCUCCCAAAGUAGAAUUCAGCAUGCCAGAGAUGAAUUUAAAGAACUACAUCCUCUUUUAAGUUAAAGUGAAAUUCUUACAUUGACUUAGCAGGAUACCUUCAUAGUCUAGUUCUUCAAGUUUAAUAACUAAUGGAGGGAUGCAAAUGUGGAAAAUUUACUGGCUACUUGGCUUUAUUCAUGGUGAGCUAUGUGCUUGCAUACCAGUAUCUAGAGUCAGUAGAACAAAAAACAUUUUAAUAAAAUGGAAUUUUUGCAGUUACUUUGGUUAGGUAAUAGAAUUUUGGAUCUCGUAGAGAUAAUUUAGUCCAACAUCUGUAUUUUUAUAGAUGAGAAAAGUAAACCUGUGAGGUAAAAUAUCUGGUCUAGAAUCAUUGGUCAAGUCCGUUUCAGAGUUAGGAACACAGCUUAGGAUUUCGAUGAUCUCUGUCCAGUGUUCUUUUUCCCUGUACUGUGAAUCUGUAUGCUUACUGUCUUUGGUGGUUCUUUAAUAUUAAUGCUAUUAAAAAUGAAAGUUAAAGAAAUUGUGUGCUUUACACAGUUGGUGGUUUCUCUAUUCAAGGUUUUUUUCUAGUUCUUUUCAUUCUAAUCAGUGCUUUUGAGGGGUUGUAUAUCACUUUGACAGAUUGUAAGAAAGGAACUUCUGAUGAACAGGUGGGUAUUUUAAUUGCACAGAGGGAAAUUAGAUUUCAUCAGUGAUGUUACCUUUGUGGGAUGCAUGAUAGAACUAUUGACAGUUGGCAGAGAAGAGGUGCAUUGUUAGAAAAUCAAUGUUCUUAAUUCAUUCAGUACUUUGAUGUUGAAAUGGUUAAAAUAAUAAAAAUUGGAAAAAAAUCAUUGAAUUAAAAAAAUAAUUUAGGAGAAAAAGUUAAGCAUGAAUUUUGAAAAAAAUUUCCCUUUAUAUAUGUAUGUAUUAAAAAGAUUCAGCAUUAUAUUUGAAUUAUUUUUAAAAAGCUGUUAUGUCAAAAUUAAUUGCAACUUAGCUUAUUUUUUAGUACAUGUACACAGUUCUGCCUUUCUGUGACAUAAAAGGAAACAAUUUGUUCAAUAAUUUUUGGGCUUUUGUUGUUUGCUGAUUUGGAAGUCUUUAUCAUGAAAUAUGCCAUUGCUUUGAAUACUUUCUCUCUUUCUCAGAGAAAGAAAUAUCCUGCUCUCAUUAGCAAAAAGAUAGUUUGUGAACUGUGGAAACAAAUAUUUCCAGCUAAUUUAGGGGAUGACAGAUUUCCUUUUAUUCUCAGUUUCAUUUUAAUUUAAUUAUUUACCUUAAGCAAAAGUUUAGCUUCACUUCUGUGAGAGUUAACCUACUAAGACAAUUAAUUCUUCAAAGAUUACUGUUCAUUUUUAAAUGAGUAAAGAAACUUAAAAGUAUGUAAGUACACAAGGGUAAAAAUAUAUUACGUCUGUCAUAUUGAGUAUUUGCUCCAGAUGCUGAAGCAGAGAAAUUUCUCUUGAUGGUCUCUUAGAGAGGUGGUAUGGCUGGCGUGCAGCUGACAUUCAGUUUUAAGUAACAAGGAACUCGCCUGUAUAAACUCUGCUAUAAUUGGCAGACUUAUUCUUCCUUACGCGCGUGUACACAUGCUAUAUAUAUAGAUGUAUAUAUAUAUAGAUGUAUAGAUAUACGUAUAUACACGUAUAUCUAUGUAUACAUAGAGACUCUGUCUCAAAAAAAAAUUAAAGCAGUGACAUAAAGCAUUGAUUUCUGUUUUCUGAAUUUGAACUUUGACUAAUUUAUUUUGCAUUAGGCAGCAGUCUCAGCUGCUUAUUUAUACUGAACAGACUCACUGAACUUUUUUCACCUUCUGGAGAAAUUCUGGGGCUACCCAGAAUUGCCUGCUCUAUGUGUCUAUGAUAUCUAUAGAUAUAUAGAACAGGCAAGGGAUAUGAACAAGUCACAAUGAGUUACCAAUUGAAGUUCAACAAAAUUAAACUGCAGAUUUUUUUAAAUUGAGACUUUUCCCCCCCAGGAUUAGUUAUCCUACUCAACCCCUCCCAUCCAUAAAUACAACUACUACCUCUCAUCAUAUCCUACCUCAACACUCAAUGGAGAACGUGUGUGUGUGUGUGUGUGUACACUUGGCCGGCCAGUAUUUUAUAGUUUUCUAUGUGUAAAAAUUUAAUCCAUUGUUUAAGAUAGGAAGGAGAGACCGGGCGUGGUGACUCACACCUGUAAACCCAGCACUUUGGGAGGCCGAGGUGGGUGGAUCACCUGAGGUCAGGAGUUUGAUACCAACGUGACCAACAUGGUGAAACCCCAUCUCUACUAAAAAUACAAAUAAUAGUUGGUCAUGGUGAUGGGUGGCUGUAUUCCCAGUGACUUGGAAGGCUGAGGCAGGAGAAUCGCUUGAAUUGAGCUGAGAUCAAGCCAUUUUACUCCAGCCUGGGUGACAGAGUGAGACUCUGUCUUAAAAAAAAGAUAGGAAGGAGGAAAAACAACAAAUUAUUUCCACAUUUUUAAAUGAGUAAGUGUAUUCUUUCUUCAUUGAUUUAAAAUGCCCCUUUUGGCGGGUAUGUAGCACACACCUGUAAUUCCCACAGUUUGGGAGGCCAAGGCAGUAGGAUUAUUUGUGCCCAGGAGUUCAAGACCAG